GCGGAGCGUGUGGUUUAAUUCGAUGCUACACGAACGAACUUACCAAGGUUUGACAUGUAAGUGGUAGUGAUCUGAAAAGUGAACGACCCUUCGGGGAGCUUACACAGGUGCUGCAUGGCUGUCGUCAGCUCGUGUCGUGAGAUGUUCGGUUAAGUCCGCUAACGAGCGCAACCCUCACUGUGUGUUACAUGUGUCACACGGGACUGCCGGUUUUAAGCCGGAGGAAGGCGAGGAUGACGUCAAGUCAGCAUGGCCUUUAUAUCUUGGGCUACACACACGCUACAAUGGUCUGUACAAUAGGUUGCCAAGCCGCGAGGCGGAGCCAAUCCUUAAAGCAGGCCUCAGUUCAGAUUGCAGGCUGCAACCCGCCUGCAUGAAGAUGGAGUUGCUAGUAACCGCAGGUCAGCUAUACUGCGGUGAAUACGUUCCCGGGUCUU
rnacentral:rRNA from 1 species